ACGGAAGGCAGCAGUGGGGAAUAUUGGACAAUGGGGGAAACCCUGAUCCAGCGACGCCGCGUGAGUGAAGAAGUAUUUCGGUAUGUAAAGCUCUAUCAGCAAGGAAGAAAAUGACGGUACUUGACUAAGAAGCUCCGGCUAAAUACGUGCCAGCAGCCGCGGUAAUACGUAUGGAGCAAGCGUUAUCCGGAUUUACUGGGUGUAAAGGGAGCGUAGACGGAAUGGCAAGUCAGAAGUGAAACUCCGGGGCUCAACCCCGGAACUGCUUUUGAAACUGUCAAUCUUGAGUACUGGAGAGGUAAGCGGAAUUCCUAGUGUAGCGGUGAAAUGCGUAGAUAUUAGGAGGAACACCAGUGGCGAAGGCGGCUUACUGGACAGCAACUGACGUUGAGGCUCGAAAGCGUGGGGAGCAAACAGGAUUAGAUACCCUGGUA
rnacentral:rRNA from 1 species